UGUUGAGCGCCGACCGCUACCGCUAUGCCCGCAACGCCUACAAGCUUCGCGUAUGAUGUGACCGCCGCGACCACAAUCGAACCAGUGGCAUUCGGGUCAGCAGUGGAGCACCCUAUAGCGACUGGUCCACCGAGGUGGACGCGAACCUAUAGCGACCGGUCCACCGAGAUGGACGCGAAACGAGGGCCAAUUAGUGAAUAGCAUGUCGAGGCUAUUCAAAACAAAGAUAAAUAUAAUAACAAGCUGAGA